CUUCUGUUAUUACUUGUUUGUGAAUGAAACUGUAUUUCUUUCUUAAACUAGAGUGAAGAGGAGGAGCCUUUGGGAUGGCCUGCCAGUCAGAAGGACACACCGGGUGACCCAGAGAGAGGUGAGGAGGAGACACUUGCUGAUGUAGCUGGAUGGGUGGUGCAGAAAGUGGCUCAAGAUCCAGAAGUCAGUGCUUGUACCGAAUGUGAAAGUUUGCUUGUGGAGACCAACGACACUGAGCACAACUAUCACACACGGAUGGAGAAGGACGCCGUCUCAGCUGUGAAGAAAAGCCCAACGUCUGCCAGGCUGCUUCAUCCAUCCGAAGCUUUCAAAGAAUGCAUCUCCAAAUGUGACAGCGUCAUCCAAAAAAUCCCCCCGAAUGCGAUGGCCCCGAAGAAAUUAAAGGCCUACCUCAGAGCCAGCGGUGCUUUCAGUGAGCUCCACCGCAUCCAUCCUGCCCACUCAAAGGCCAUCGAGAGGGUCGCCGUGAAUAAAUAUGUGAUGUGGAGGGUGGUGGCCGAGCUGAAGGAAACGGCACAAAACAGAAAACGCACACAUGAGAAAAGAAGUGCUGCGUGUCAAGAGCUAAAUGUUUAGUCCUGAUUGAAGUAAAUCAGGACUAAAUAAAUAUAAAAUGAUGUUAAUUUGAUAAUAAAUUAUUUUAGGCCAUUCUAA